GACCGUCAUCGGCAACUGAUCUUUGAUAAGAGCACGACGGGGGCGCAGCGGCAGAAUCCUCGGGCCUCGCGGCUGCGUUGGUCAUCGUCGUCGUCUUAUCUGCAAAUUUCGUCACGGGUAGGCCUUUGUUCCCAAGUUUAAAAUCUUUAUACUGUAACAGUUCCGAAGAAGCCCGAGGCAAUCUCCGGGAAACGGCGUACCAAAAGUACGUCUGGGGCCACUUUCCCCGUUCUGAGGAACCUAGUACUCGUUCACUUUGUCCCAGACCUUUGUGAAGUGUGGAGUGCGCGGACUUUUAUCCCGGGUUCCCCUGUCCAGUCCUGAGAUCUCGUCGAGUUAGAAUUGUGAGUGUGCGAAAUAGUGAGCCUCAGUGCGGCCUAGUUAGAGAUCAGUUCGAAGGCUUCGCUUCCUUUCGCCCUACCAGCAAAGCAGCACCAGUAGGAGAUCGAGCGCGCGUCCACCACCGCACCGCAUCGAGUGUGGGACAAGUUUGACCUGGCACACGCUACAUCGCCAGAAGAGACGAGCCGUCAACACCUCGUCUGGAGGCGGUUCCAUCCGCCCACGUGCUGGCCCGGAAAGCCAAGUUCCGGCCCGUGCAACAUCAUCGAAGUCGACCGCGACAUCGCAGGUCGAACCGGCAGCAUCGUUCGCGCCGUCCGCGAGCACGCGGUGAGGAUCAACAGCAGCAGCAUCAUCAAGUAACAGGAGCAGUAGACACAUCGCACUCUAGUGCCUUUUGUCUGCCGCAGUCCGCUUGACUGCCGGUGACGUUAGCGAUCAGCUGUUCCAGCUGACGCGCUGAAGAUUUGAGGAGGUAGAGCACAAAAGCACGGGGUAACAGAAGAACAAACAGUAGAAGUAGGGAGAGCAAACGCACACAGUAGGGAGAUGUCUAGACGAUAGAACAACACAAUGAAUGAAAUACAAAACCUUAGACUAGUCACUAGUCCAAUAAAAUGAGCACCUCUUUUUGAUUUCCUACCUGAAGUAUUUGUGUAAUUAUUCUGGAGUAUAAUAAAGUCCCUGCAGUUAAAAUGAGCUCACGUGUUAGUUUUUUUGGUCGAUCCGGAGCGCUGCUUCCGUCACUUUAGGGUCCGUUCCCAGUCCUUUCCUCCCCAAUGCAAAAGUUCUGCGUAUUUCCCAUGCUUCGUGAAGUUCUCUGGUGGCGGGUGUCGGUACUACCCAUGAUGAUUCAUACGGGCACG